rfam:Clostridiales sp. SS3/4 draft genome.
GCACCUUUAGCUCAGCUGGUAGAGCAGUAGACUCUUAAUCUAUUUGUCCAGGGUUCGAAUCCCUGAAGGUGCA